rnacentral:rRNA from 1 species
UACAGAGGGGGCAAGCGUUGUUCGGAAUUACUGGGCGUAAAGGGCGCGUAGGCGGCCUGCUAAGUCGAACGUGAAAUCCCCGGGCUCAACCCGGGAACUGCGUCCGAUACUGACAGGCUUGAAUCCGGGAGAGGGAUGCGGAAUUCCAGGUGUAGCGGUGAAAUGCGUAGAUAUCUGGAGGAACACCGGUGGCGAAGGCGGGUCUCUGGGCCGAUACUGACGCUGAGGAGCGAAAGCGUGGGGAGCGAACAGG